rnacentral:lncRNA from 1 species
UAAUAUGAACCUUGAGUCAUCAAACCCUUUCUAAAUCGGCUUGGCUCGGUCUCCCUACACAGCUGGUUCUCUUUUCCCUAAUAUGAACCUUGAGUCAUCAAAGCCUUUCUGACUCUGUUUGGCCCAAUCACCUACUCGAAUGACUCUCCUUUUCCUAAUAUGAACCUUGAGUCAUCAAAGCCUUUCUGACUCGGCUUGGCUCGAUCACCCUACGUGACUGGCGCUUCAAAAGACGAAACUCUCAAUCGUAGUUUGGUAGGCCACCCUAUGCAACUGGAGCUUCAAAAGACGAAACUCUCGAUUGUAGUUUGGCGACCUAUCUUUAGUAGGGCCUUUAGUCUUUUGAUUAGAGUAGGGGUUGCAAAAAAGGAGAGCAUACCACUCAGCCAUAGUCACUCAAAAAAUAAAUGAAAUGCCUAGUAACCGAACUACCAAGAUGUCAUAAAUGACUUGAGGUAGCUAUGAGAAAGAUAUAAAUGGCCAAAUAGUGCAAAAUUUAGAAAAUAAGCUGGAGUGUCAUUAAAACCUUCAACAUGGAGCCUUCCUCUUUUGAACGGUCUUAGAAUGAGAUAAGACAUAGAAAUAUAGAGUUUGCUAAAACUUACAAAUAUAGAAUCUAUACGUUAAAAGGAAGCUAAUGAUACCCAUAUCAUUUAUAUUUAAGAUGGGUCGAAAAUGAGUUAAAAAAAAUAGUCUAAAUGGAAGGACUAAAAUCAGAAUUUUAUUUUAGAAAUAUGUUACCAAGAUUAUAGGAGUCUAUAGUUGAAAAUUCAAGUGAAAACGAGUUAAAAAUGAGGCUUAAAUUGAAGGGGAAAAAACCAUUUUAAAGCUUUACUGAUAAAAGUUCUCGUAUUCUAGUUUGAAAUCAUUAUUAAAAGGCAUUUUCAAAGAUAUAAUCAAUACAAAAUGAUAGAACGAUGAAUUAGAAUCUUACCCAAGCAAGAAUAGUGAGGAAAAAUCGUAGAAAUCGUCUAUUCCUGAAGCUCCAAGGUCAAAAAAUGUUGGAAAUUGCGAAAAAAAAAAUCAUUUAUACUGUUCAGUGAAUAAUACUUUGUGAUCGCAAUUCCCAACUCGUGAUCGUGAAGGUCAACAUUCAUUAGAACUUAAGUUGGUCACCGUAGAGAAACACUUUGCGACCGCGAUGGUCAAACCCGACUCGGUCCAUCAAUUUACCUAUUGCGAUUGCGGUACCACCACCAUGCAAUCACAAUGAAGGAGAUCAUCGAGGUCUGCG